GAUGAACGCUAGCGGCAGGCCUAAUACAUGCAAGUCGGACGGGAUCCAUUGAUAGCUUGCUAUCAAUGGUGAGAGUGGCGCACGGGUGCGUAACGCGUGAGCAACCUGCCUCCAUCAGGGGGAUAGCCUCUCGAAAGAGAGAUUAACACCGCAUAAUAUCAACAGUUCGCAUGUUCAGUUGAUUAAAUAUUUAUAGGAUGGAGAUGGGCUCGCGUGACAUUAGCUAGUUGGUAGGGUAACGGCUUACCAAGGCGACGAUGUCUAGGGGCUCUGAGAGGAGAAUCCCCCACACUGGUACUGAGACACGGACCAGACUGCUACGGGAGGCAGCAGUAAGGAAUAUUGGUCAAUGGGCGGAAGCCUGAACCAGCCAUGCCGCGUGCAGGAUGACUGCCCUAUGGGUUGUAAACUGCUUUUGUCCAGGAAUAAACCUAAAUACGAGUAUUUAGCUGAAUGUACUGGAAGAAUAAGGAUCGGCUAACUCCGUG
rnacentral:rRNA from 1 species